rnacentral:rRNA from 1 species
AUUGAACGCUGGCGGCAGGCCUAACACAUGCAAGUCGAACGGUAACAGGAAGAAGCUUGCUUCUUUGCUGACGAGUGGCGGACGGGUGAGUAAUGUCUGGGAAACUGCCUGAUGGAGGGGGAUAACUACUGGAAACGGUAGCUAAUACCGCAUAACGUCGCAAGACCAAAGAGGGGGACCUUCUGGCCUCUUGCCAUCGGAUGUGCCCAGAUGGGAUUCGCUAGUAGGUGGGGUAACGGCUCACCUAGGCGACGAUCCCUAGCUGGUCUGAGAGGAUGACCAGCCACACUGGAACUGAGACACGGUCAAGACUCCUACGGGAGGCAGCAGUGGGGAAUAUUGCACAAUGGGCGCAAGCCUGAUGCAGCCAUGCCGCGUGUAUGAAGAAGGCCUUCGGGUUGUAAAGUACUUUCAGCGGGGAGGAAGGGAGUAAAGUUAAUACCUUUGCUCAUUGACGUUACCCGCAGAAGAAGCACCGGCUAACUCCGUG